rnacentral:rRNA from 1 species
AUUGAACGCUGGCGGCAUGCCUUACACAUGCAAGUCGAACGGUAACGCGGGGCAACCUGGCGACGAGUGGCGAACGGGUGAGUAAUGCAUCGGAACGUGCCUGGUAGUGGGGGAUAACUGCUCGAAAGAGCAGCUAAUACCGCAUACGACCUGAGGGUGAAAGGGGGGGAUCGCAAGACCUCUCGCUAUCAGAGCGGCCGAUGUCGGAUUAGCUAGUUGGUGGGGUAAAGGCCCACCAAGGCAACGAUCCGUAGCUGGUCUAAGAGGACGACCGGCCACACUGGGACUGGGACACGGCCCAGACUCCUACGGGAGGCAGCAGUGGGGAAUUUUGGACAAUGGACGCAAGUCUGAUCCAGCCAUGCCGCGUGCGGGAAGAAGGCCUUCGGGUUGUAAAGCACUUUCAGUAGGGAGGAAGCGUUGUGUGUUAAUAGUACACAGCGUUGACGUUACCUACAGAAGAAGCACCGGCUAACUCUGUGCCAGCAGCAGCCGCGGUAA